rnacentral:rRNA from 1 species
UGGGGAAUAUUGGACAAUGGGGGCAACCCUGAUCCAGCGACGCCGCGUGUGUGAAGAAGGCCUGCGGGUUGUAAAGCACUUUUAGUGGGGAUGAAAAGCACAUUGCUAAUACCAGUGUGUCUUGACCUAACCCACAGAAAAAGCACCGGCUAACUCUGUGCCAGCAGCCGCGGUAAUACAGAGGUCCCAAGCGUUGUUCGGAUUCACUGGGCGUAAAGGGUGCGCAGGUGGGUUUGCAAGUUCGAUGUGAAAGCCCCGGGCUUAACCCGGGAAUGGCAUUGGAUACUGCAGAUCUGGAGGAUCGGAGGGGGGACUGGAAUUCUUGGUGUAGCAGUGAAAUGCGUAGAUAUCAAGAGGAACACCAGUGGCGAAGGCGAGUCCCUGGACGAUACCUGACACUGAGGCACGAAAGCUAGGGGAGCAAA